rnacentral:rRNA from 1 species
AACGAACGCUGGCGGCAGGCUUAACACAUGCAAGUCGAGCGCCCCGCAAGGGGAGCGGCAGACGGGUGAGUAACGCGUGGGAAUCUACCCAUCUCUACGGAAUAACGCAUGGGAACGUGUGCUAAUACCGUAUACGUCCUUCGGGAGGAAGAUUUAUCGGAGAUGUAUGAGGCCGCGUUGGAUUGGCUAGUUGGGGGGGUAAAGGCCUACCAAGGCGACGAUCCAGAGAUGGUCUGAGAGGAUGAUCAGCAACACUGGGCCUGGGACACGGCCCAGACUCCUACGGGAGGCAGCAGUGGGGAAUAUUGGACAAUGGGCGCAAGCCUGAUCCAGCCAUGCCGCGUGAGUGAUUAAGGCCCUAGGGCUGUAAAGCUCUUUCACCGGUGAAGAUAAUGACGGUAACCGGAGAAGAAGCCCCGGCUAACUUCGUGCCAGCCGCCGCAGUAACAC